UACGUAGGGUGCAAGCGUUGUCCGGAAUUAUUGGGCGUAAAGAGCUCGUAGGCGGUCUGUCACGUCGGCUGUGAAAUCCCGAGGCUCAACCUCGGGCCUGCAGUCGAUACGGGCAGACUAGAGUUCGGUAGGGGAGACUGGAAUUCCUGGUGUAGCGGUGAAAUGCGCAGAUAUCAGGAGGAACACCGGUGGCGAAGGCGGGUCUCUGGGCCGUAACUGACGCUGAGGAGCGAAAGCGUGGGGAGCGAACAGG
rnacentral:rRNA from 1 species